GAAACUGACGAUUUAGCUUCGUUUCCGCCUAGAGGGUCGAGGCGACGUCGUAAGGUCAUGAAAAUGGACUGGUGGCACCGUGGCACAUAACCGCAGACCUAUAAUUUUCGGGGCUGCAAAGUGGAGCACGGUUGUGGCGCAGUUGCAAUAUUGGGCCAUGCCGGAUACGGGUGCCGCGAGAGGCUGAUUGCAAGUGUCGACAAGCAAUCGGAACGCGAUACAGGUGGGUUGUGUUUACCGAAGCGACUAGGUCGCCUAUAUGUCUAAGAAUGAGUAUUAUUAUUGAUGCAUGUAAUGGUAGCUAAUGAUAGAAUGUAUAAAUACAUGAAAAGAAUACUAUGUGGGCUACCAAAUAAUGCAUAUGGUCAUAAUGUAAGAAUGCUAAGUAAUGCAUAAUGACAUAGUGCGAAUAAUGUUAAGUGGAAAGCAUAAAGUAAAUGACAUAUGUUAGUCAUGUUGCAUGUGUAGAAAUGCUAAUGUAAGAAUGCAUGUAGAUAUGAAAUAAGAAUGCUAAAGAAAAUGUAUGACAAGCAUAUUGUGGAGAUCUUAAUGUAAAGAUGUUAGUAUAUGACAUGUGCAUGUGGACAUAUAUAUACACAUAGAUCGAGUGGCAUUGAACCUAGUAUCAUGAACCUAGGAAAGAUUGAGUGGCAU
rnacentral:lncRNA from 1 species